rnacentral:rRNA from 1 species
AGCGAACGCUGGCGGCAGGCUUAACACAUGCAAGUCGAGCGGGCGUAGCAAUACGUCAGCGGCAGACGGGUGAGUAACGCGUGGGAACGUACCUUUUGGUUCGGAACAACACAGGGAAACUUGUGCUAAUACCGGAUAAGCCCUUACGGGGAAAGAUUUAUCGCCGAAAGAUCGGCCCGCGUCUGAUUAGCUAGUUGGUGAGGUAACGGCUCACCAAGGCGACGAUCAGUAGCUGGUCUGAGAGGAUGAUCAGCCACAUUGGGACUGAGACACGGCCCAAACUCCUACGGGAGGCAGCAGUGGGGAAUAUUGGACAAUGGGGGAAACCCUGAUCCAGCCAUGCCGCGUGAGUGAUGAAGGCCCUAGGGUUGUAAAGCUCUUUUGUGCGGGAAGAUAAUGACGGUACCGCAAGAAUAAGCCCCGGCUAACUUCGUG